rnacentral:rRNA from 1 species
AAGCGGGAAGAGCUCAAAUUUGUAAUCUGGCACUUUCAGUGUCCGAGUUGUAAUCUCGAGAAGUAUUUUCCGCGCCGGACUGCAUACAAGUCUGUUGGAAUACAGCGUCAUAGUGGUGAGAACCCCGUAACUGAUGCAGAUGCCCGGUGCUUUGUGAUAUACUUUCGAAGAGUCGAGUUGUUUGGGAAUGCAGCUCAAAUUGGGUGGUAAAUUCCAUCUAAAGCUAAAUAUUGGAGCAAGACCGAUAGCGAACAAGUACCGUGAGGGAAAGAUGAAAAGCACUUUGGAAAGAGAGUUAACAGUACGUGAAAUUGUUGGAAGGGAAACGCUUGAAGUCAGACUUGCUAUUCGGAGUUCAGCCGCAAGGUGUAUUCUUCGAUUUGCAGGCCAGCAUCAGUUUUCGGGGGUGGAAAAUCGUGGUUUGAAGGUAGCAACUUCGGUUGUGUUAUAGCUUUCCACUGGAUUCAUCUUUGGGGACUGAGGAACGCAGUACGCUUUUUGCAAGGCCCUCGGGCUUUUCGUACUUAGGAUGCUGGUGGAAUGGCUUUAAACGACCCGUCUUGA